rnacentral:rRNA from 1 species
UGGGGAAUAUUGCACAAUGGGGGAAACCCUGAUGCAGCGACGCCGCGUGAGCGAAGAAGGUUUUCGAAUCGUAAAGCUCUGUCCUAUGAGAAGAUAAUGACGGUAUCAUAGGAGGAAGCCCCGGCUAAAUACGUGCCAGCAGCCGCGGUAAUACGUAUGGGGCGAGCGUUGUCCGGAAUUAUUGGGCGUAAAGGGUACGUAGGCGGUCUAUUAAGUCAGGUGUGAAAGCGUGAGGCUUAACCUCAUUAAGCACUUGAAACUGAUAGACUUGAGUGAAGGAGAGGAAAGUGGAAUUCCUAGGGUGGCGGUGAAAUGCGUAGAUAUUAGGAGGAAUACCGGUGGCGAAGGCGACUUUCUGGACUUUUACUGACGCUCAGGUACGAAAGCGUGGGGAGCAAACAGG